GGUCCUGCUCAUUAAUGCUUGUCUGCCUCCUUCAUCAUUCAGGUUAGGAUUUCAUGUGGGGGCAGUUUCAAAAGGAAUCUUCUCUCAUUUGGCUGAUUUCAUGGAAUAAGAUUUAUUUUUCCUGUCCUCAUUUUCUUGUAAUAACAGAUGGAUUGUUUCACAGUAAACUAAUGCAUUACUUUUGGACCCAUGUUUUUAAAUUGCUUUUGACUAACAUGUAUCACUUUUUUUAAACAGUUCAUUUUGAGUAACUGAAGAUCAGAAUUGGAUUAAUAAUUAGUGAUUAAAUGGAUGAUUAUUUGUUUAUGAGCUUUGACAGGUUUGUUACAGCUACAUCCUGUUACAGCAUUUGUUUAGUCCAAAGUGCAGCCAUCUCAGCAUCUAUGGUUGUUACCUUUAGGGAAACACAGACUAGAGGAGUUCAUGGUAGUAAAUUGUGGUUCAUCCAACUGCUUUACAAAAAAACAACAGUUUUUGUGAACUGGCUUUCACAAAAACAACAACAGAAAAGACCACUGCUUUACAUUUUAUACCAUACUGCCAAGACUCCUGAACUCUGUGGACUCAGGGCUGUCAGCUGCAGAGGGUGACACAGGGCCAGGGCCAUCAGCUGCAGAGGGUGACACAUUGUCACUCAGCUGCCCUCCUGAGCUGGAAGCAGCAGUGGUAGAAUAGGACACAGGCUCUCAGGCUGACUGGGACCAGGAUCUGCAUGCUGGUUUUCCAUGUCCCUUUCUGCAGGUUUUCAUGGCAUUUCUAUAACCCCAAAGCAUGAGAGGAGUCUCAUAAGUACAACAGGUUUUCUAUGGUUGGAAUGCCAUGAAUGGGAAGUAAGGCAUGAGUCAGGGGGUUAUUUCAGAUCUUUGUACAGCCAGGAAUGAAACCCUGCUGCUCUCUACUUUCUGAGCCAAACCCUUGACCUAGACCUGCCCUGACUCCUGUUUCAAUGCAGAUGGUUUCAGCCCUCUGUGUCUGCUAAGGCCCUUGAUACUUCCCAUUGGAUAUCUGAAACCCUAUAUAUUUUGUAUAUAUUUCAUAUGUGUGUAAAAUUCAAGCUGUGUGGCAACCUCUGCCAUUGGAUAUCCCACCAUGCCUGGUCUGUAGGUGAGAUCUCAGCUUGUGGUCAGGAGUGUCUAGAGGGAGAGAUGGAGACAAUAUUUUUGCUUAUAAAAUUGCUCAUAAAUGGGAAGAUAUUUGCAUCAAGCUGAAGCACUUGCAUCAAUCUCCCAAAAGCUUGAAGUACUGUUUUGCUGUCUAAAUUUUAGCUGUUAAUGCUGCCUUUGCUGUCAACCAGGUCAAAAAUCCUGCAUAAUUCCCCGUAUCUAUCUCACUUCCCAGCAGAGAGAAAUGAAACCCCUUCCUGGACCUUGGAUGAGCAUGAGGGAAAGACCCACUUUCUGAAGCCUCUAGGGAGGAACAUGGCCUCAACAGAGGGAGAAGGAGGUACUUAGCACUUACGAAAUGCAAGCUCAGGGCAGGCUGUGAGGAACAUCUACACUUAGAGAAGUCUUUCUGGAAAGCCAGUGGAAAUCAUUUGCUCAAAUAUUAGUGAUUUGUGAGAUAAUCUAUUAUAGAUUAAUCAUUUCAGUCUUAUGGUACAAUGUCAAAAAUAAAUUGGGGUUAUGAAGCUGGAGGGGAGCCACUUGGGGGUCGUGUGUUCUCACUGACACUCCUUAUUUGACUUUGAAAACAGUGUCAUGACGAGAUUUUUGAAGCUGAUUGUUACCCCAUGGAAUCCAAAUCACAAGGAGAACAGAGAGCAGGCACAUCCGUGAAAAGGGUGGCUGGUUGGGAUCAUGUCUGUGAAGCAGCACAGUCACCAAGGAGCAGGUUGGAGAAGAAACAGCACUUUUGUACCCCUGGCAUGAGACAGGGGGGCCCUCAGGACUCAGGCACCCACUCUGGUUGGUGGGGUACAAACAAAUCCCAUGGAGAACCAAGAUGCUCCCACAAAGCAUAAAAUAUCU